rnacentral:lncRNA from 13 species
ACGCUGGCUCUGGGGUCCAUGCAGAGCGUCCACACUGGCUCUGGGGUCCACUCAGGGCGUCCACGCUGGCUCUGGGGUCCAUGCAGGGCGUCCACGCUGGCUCUGGGCUCCAUGCAGGACGUCCACGCUGACUCUGGGGUCCUCACAGGGCAUCCACGCUGGCUCUGGGGUCCAUGCAGAGCGUCCACGCUGGCUCUGGGGUCCGCUCAGGGCGUCCACGCUGGCUCUGGGGUCCAUGCAGGGCGUCCACGCUGGCUCUGGGGUCCAUGCAGGACAUCCACGCUGACUCUGGGGUCCUCACAGGGCAUCCACGCUGGCUCUGGGGUCCAUGCAGGGCAUCCACGCUGGCUCUGGGGUCAGCUCAGGGCGUCCACACUGGCUCUGGUUAGAGCCCCCUUGAUGCCUCGCCCACGCUUCUGCCCAGGCCUUCCGGGAGAACCUGACCAUGGCCCAGCACAAGUAGCUGGUCCUCACGCUCUUGCACAGCCUCCCAGGCUACAACCGCCCUCACUGCGACCUGGCCUCAGAGCUCCUCCUGCACAUCUUCCUGCACAUCUUCCAGGGUUCCAGCAUCCAGCCCGAGCAGGUGACCGAGAUCCUGCACGGCCUGUUCCAGGAGCUGCCAGGCGUCACCCUCAAGAGCAUACAGCACACUAUGGUGAAGGUUGUGACAACUCUGGGGACCCAGCACGCCCAGAAGGUCAUCGAGGUGGUCCUGUCCUUGUGCCACCCUGCGGAGAGAUGGGUCCCUCCCCCUGCCAUGAACCCAAAGGAGGACAUCUGUGGUCCAUCCUCCAAUCCCCCUCCCAGGGCAGAGAAGCUGCCUGGAUGCACCCUCGGCUCCAGUCGUGGAAGGCAGACGUGCCUGAGAGCUCCCCCCAGCCUUAGCCCUCCUUCCCAGAGUCCAGAAUCAGGGCCAGCUGGGUCCCCAGAGAUGUCCUGGGCUGAGGGUAUUGAGGCUGGGGCUCUAGCAGGCCCAGGACAGGGGCGGCUGCAUUGUGAAACCUGUAAUCCCAGCACUUUGGAAGGCCAAGAUGGGUGGAUCACCUGAGGUCAGGAGUUUGAGACUAGCCUGGCCAACGUAGUAGAGCCCCAUCUCUACUAAAAAUACAAAAAUUAUCCUGGUG